UACGGGGGGGGCAAGCGUUGUUCGGAAUUACUGGGCGUAAAGGGCCAGUAGGCGGCCAACUAAGUCCGACGUGAAAUCCCAAGGCUUAACCUUGGAACUGCGUCGGAUACUGGAUGGCUUGAAUUCGGGAGAGGGAUGCAGAAUUCCAGGUGUAGCGGUGAAAUGCGUAGAUAUCUGGAGGAACACCGGUGGCGAAGGCGGGUCUCUGGGCAACAACUGACGCUGAGGAGCGAAAGCGUGGGGAGCGAACAGG
rnacentral:rRNA from 1 species